GAUGAACGCUGGCGGCGUGCCUAAUACAUGCAAGUAGAACGCUGAAGGAGGAGCUUGCUCUUUCCGGAUGAGUUGCGAACGGGUGAGUAACGCGUAGGUAACCUGCCUGGUAGCGGGGGAUAACUAUUGGAAACGAUAGCUAAUACCGCAUAACAGUAGAUAUUGCAUGAUAUUUGCUUGAAAGGGGCAAUUGCUCCACUACCAGAUGGACCUGCGUUGUAUUAGCUAGUUGGUGAGGUAACGGCUCACCAAGGCGACGAUACAUAGCCGACCUGAGAGGGUGAUCGGCCACACUGGGACUGCGACACGGCCCAGACUCCUACGGGAGGCAGCAGUAGGGAAUCUUCGGCAAUGGACGGAAGUCUGACCGAGCAACGCCGCGUGAGUGAAGAAGGUUUUCGGAUCGUAAAGCUCUGUUGUAAGAGAAGAACGAGUGUGAGAGUGGAAAGUUCACACUGUGACGGUAUCUUACCAGAAAGGGACGGCUAACUACGUG
rnacentral:rRNA from 1 species